rnacentral:rRNA from 1 species
GCUCGCAGGCGGUUUCUUAAGUCUGAUGUGAAAGCCCCCGGCUCAACCGGGGAGGGUCAUUGGAAACUGGGAAACUUGAGUGCAGAAGAGGAGAGUGGAAUUCCACGUGUAGCGGUGAAAUGCGUAGAGAUGUGGAGGAACACCAGUGGCGAAGGCGACUCUCUGGUCUGUAACUGACGCUGAGGAGCGAAAGCGUGGGGAGCGAACAGGAUUAGAUACCCUGGUAGUCCACGCCGUAAACGAUGAGUGCUAAGUGUUAGGGGGUUUCCGCCCCUUAGUGCUGCAGCUAACGCAUUAAGCACUCCGCCUGGGGAGUACGGUCGCAAGACUGAAACUCAAAGGAAUUGACGGGGGCCCGCACAAGCGGUGGAGCAUGUGGUUUAAUUCGAAGCAACGCGAAGAACCUUACCAGGUCUUGACAUCCUCUGACAACCCUAGAGAUAGGGCUUUCCCUUCGGGGACAGAGUGACAGGUGGUGCAUGGUUGUCGUCAGCUCGUGUCGUGAGAUGUUGGGUUAAGUCCCGCAACGAGCGCAACCCUUGAUCUUAGUUGCCAGCAUUUAGUUGGGCACUCUAAGGUGACUGCCGGUGACAAACCGGAGGAAGGUGGGGAUGACGUCAAAUCAUCAUGCCCCUUAUGACCUGGGCUACACACGUGCUACAAUGGACAGAACAAAGGGCUGCGAGACCGCAAGGUUUAGCCAAUCCCAUAAAUCUGUUCUCAGUUCGGAUCGCAGUCUGCAACUCGACUGCGUGAAGCUGGAAUCGCUAGUAAUCGCGGAUCAGCA